rnacentral:tRNA from 2 species
AGAAAGAUAAGCUAAAUAAGCUAUUAGGUUCAUACCCUGAACAUAGAAGUAAUAAUCUUCUUCUUUCUA